CAUGUAGGCGGUUAAGUAAGUCUGAUGUGAAAGCACACAGCUCAACUGUGAUGUUGCGUUGGAAACUGCUUGACUUGAAUCCGAGAGGGGUGUGUGGAAUUCCUAGUGUAGGGGUGAAAUCUGUUGAUAUUAGGAAGAACACCAGAGGCGAAGGCGACACACUGGCUCUGGAUUGACGCUGAGAUGCGAAAGCGUAGGUAGCGAACAGGAUUAGAUACCCUGGUAGUCC
rnacentral:rRNA from 1 species